CGGGUGAGUAAAGCAUCGGAACGUACCCUAGAGUGGGGGAUAACUAUCCGAAAGGAUAGCUAAUACCGCAUAUUCUAUGAGUAGGAAAGCGGGGGAUCUUCGGACCUCGCGCUCUAGGAGCGGCCGAUGUCAGAUUAGGUAGUUGGUGGGGUAAAGGCCUACCAAGCCGACGAUCUGUAGCGGGUCUGAGAGGAUGAUCCGCCACACUGGGACUGAGACACGGCCCAGACUCCUACGGGAGGCAGCAGUGGGGAAUUUUGGACAAUGGGGGCAACCCUGAUCCAGCCAUGCCGCGUGAGUGAAGAAGGCCUUCGGGUUGUAAAGCUCUUUCGGCCGGGAAGAAAUCGUGUGGGCUAAUACCCUGCAUGGAUGACGGUACCGGAAUAAGAAGCACCGGCUAACUACGUGCCAGCAGCCGCGGUAAUACGUAGGGUGCGAGCGUUAAUCGGAAUUACUGGGCGUAAAGCGUGCGCAGGCGGUUUUUUAAGACAGGCGUGAAAUCCCCGGGCUUAACCUGGGAACUGCGCUUGUGACUGGAAGGCUAGAGUACGGCAGAGGGGGGUGGAAUUCCACGUGUAGCAGUGAAAUGCGUAGAGAUGUGGAGGAACACCGAUGGCGAAGGCAGCCCCCUGGGCCGAUACUGACGCUCAUGCACGAACACCGAUGGCGAAGGCAGCCCCCUGGG
rnacentral:rRNA from 1 species